AGAUAUGAAUAUUUUACCGUUCUUCCCUCUAAAGUUAAAAAUUACUCUUCCUUCCCCCAGUAGAUUUAAAUACAUGACACUUCAUUUUUUUCAUGAAUUUUCUGUUAUAAUUCCGUUAAAAAAUUAUUCUUAAAACAUCAUUUAUACUACCGCUCCACCAGAGAUACAAAUAUUACACCAUUUUCUUUAAAACACAAUUCAUAUAUCAUGCUCAAUCAAUUAAUUAAGUUAGACUCUAUCGAUUAAAAAAGUUUUAUUUAAAUUAUUAUUACUACAACAUUUACAUAAAAGUUACAGUACUUAAAUAAAUGCUUUUGAAGACUUGCUGGAAAGCAUACGGUUGAAGGCAAGGAUGAGUCAGAAAGUUAAAUUCAAAGGUUUGUCCUACUCACUAUGGAUAAAUACUAGAUAACCCAGCUUUAUGGUCCUUUGCUUUGCAGAUUUAUGUAGUAAUUGCUGGUCUGCGUGUGUGCGUAGGGUGUCUGUGGUUUUUUUAUCAGUUGGUUUAUGCUGUUUUUAGUUUUACUUGAUAAUGUAUGCAGUAACUAUGUGGAACUACUGUCCAGCUUUUGUUAUAUGGCAUAAACGGUAUAUUCUGUAUUGUUCUGGUUGGGGCAUCUCUCGUGACACAAUCAGUUUUAUUAUCUUAAAAUACUAAUUCUCUUUGCCUAUAAAAAAGAAAAAACUUAAAUAAUUAAAUGCUUUAAUAAAUAUUUAGCUAACGUGUCAAGUUUUUAUCAAGACACUAGCAUGGGACAAAUUAAAGAUUUCAACAAUGAAAAUGACUUAUAUCACUUAUAAGUUAAAAUAUUACUCCUUCGGUCCAUUAUAAUUAUUCUUUAUCAUUAAUAAUAAAUGAAAAAUUAAUAAAUAAAUAAAAAAGAAUAAUAGUUUCAUAAAAUUAAUUUUUUUUAUUUUUUUAUAUUAUUAAUAUUAUAAGAGACAUAAUUGAAAAAAAUAAAUUAAUGUUAUAUUAAAGAUCUUUAUUUUAUAAUCAUAUAGGUGUGUGUUAUGUAUUGUUUAAUCAUAUAAUGUCACAUGAUUUAUUUUGACACAUCAUAUGAUUAAGUUUAAUUUUUACAAUUAAAACUAAUGAAUCUUUUUGCAAAUUUUGAUAUUUUUAUUUUAUUUUUAAUUUAAUAUUUUUUAAAAAGACAUUUUAAUCCCUAAUUUUCCUUGUUCUAAACCUAAUCUUCUUUACAUUCUAUCAAUUUUUUCCACCGGCAUCACCUAUUUGAGUAUUGGCUCCACAAGGCCAACAAGCAGAAUAUAUAUUCUCAUUUAACCAAGUUGAGCGACUAAAUCAACAAUUUAGUGUAGUUUGCUAAUAUGUGAUUAUGAUUGGGAGAUUAUAGGGAUUCAUUAGUUAUGGAAGGAAAAAAAUAAAAACAUGGAAUAUUUAACCAAGUGUGAGAGAUUUUAAAACAAUAGAAAACUAUUUUUAAUGUUUUCAAUUGAAGAAGUAGAUCGAACACAUAGAUUCAAACUGAUGUGUUAGCAAUGAAGAAUAUGCAAGUGAUGAAGAACACAAAUGGUUAGUGUAAUGUAUGAAAAAACGUUUGGUUUAAAGUGCGGCACCAAAAAGAUGGAGGUUAUAAGAGCUCUCUUAUGAAUGUUGGCCUCGUGGAGUAAAUUCUCAUAUAGGUGACGACGAUGGAAAAGUUUGAUAGAAUACUAGAAAAACUAGAUUUAAAAUUAAGAAGAUUAAGAAUUAAUUAGAUUAAAGUGUGUUUUUAACAUUAAAUUAAAAUAAAAUUUAAAAAUAAAAAUAUCAAAUUUACAAAAAGAUUUUUUUAUUUAAAUUAUAAAAAAUGAAAAAUUAAACUUAUUUGAUUAUCAUACUUACAAAAUAAAUCACGUGUUGUUAUUAUAUGAUAUAUGAAUUCACAAUACAUAAAACACAUUAACAUGAUAUAUUUUAAAAUAAUACUAAUUAAAGAUAACGGAUUAUUCUAGGACAAAUGAUUAUUAUGGGGGCGAUGGAAGUAACAGUGAAUAAUGACUAGAGAGGAUUGUAAACAGAAACUAGAGCAAUAUUCAUGAACUCCUCGUCCG
rnacentral:lncRNA from 1 species